rnacentral:rRNA from 1 species
UGGGGAAUAUUGCACAAUGGGCGCAAGCCUGAUGCAGCCAUGCCGCGUGUGUGAAGAAGGCCUUCGGGUUGUAAAGCACUUUCAGCGAGGAGGAAGGGUAGUGUGUUAAUAGCACAUUGCAUUGACGUUACUCGCAGAAGAAGCACCGGCUAACUCCGUGCCAGCAGCCGCGGUAAUACGGAGGGUGCAAGCGUUAAUCGGAAUUACUGGGCGUAAAGCGCACGCAGGCGGUUUGUUAAGUCAGAUGUGAAAUCCCCGCGCUUAACGUGGGAACUGCAUUUGAAACUGGCAAGCUAGAGUCUUGUAGAGGGGGGUAGAAUUCCAGGUGUAGCGGUGAAAUGCGUAGAGAUCUGGAGGAAUACCGGUGGCGAAGGCGGCCCCCUGGACAAAGACUGACGCUCAGGUGCGAAAGCGUGGGGAGCAAAACAGGAUUAGAUACCCUGGUAGUCCACGCUGUAAACGAUGUCGACUUGGGGGUUGUGCCCUUGAGGCGUGGCUUCCGGAGCUAACGCGUUAAGUCGACCGCCUGGGGAGUACGGCCGCAAGGUUAAAAC